GAUGAACGCUGGCGGCGUGCCUAAUACAUGCAAGUCGAGCGAACAGACGAGGAGCUUGCUCCACUGACGUUAGCGGCGGACGGGUGAGUAAAACGUGGAUAACCUACCUAUAAGACUGGGAUAACUUCGGGAAACCGGAGCUAAUACCGGAUAAUAUAUUGAACCGCAUGGUUCAAUAGUGAAAGACGGUUUUGCUGUCACUUAUAGAUGGAUCCGCGCCGCAUUAGCUAGUUGGUAAGGUAACGGCUUACCAAGGCAACGAUGCGUAGCCGACCUGAGAGGGUGAUCGGCCACACUGGAACUGAGACACGGUCCAGACUCCUACGGGAGGCAGCAGUAGGGAAUCUGCCGCAAUGGGCGAAAGCCUGCCGGAGCGACGCCGCGUGAGUGAUGAAGGUCUUCGGAUCGUAAAACUCUGUUAUUAGGGAAGAACAAAUGUGUAAGUAACUAUGCACGUCUUGACGGUACCUAGUCAGAAAGCCACGGCUAACUACGGG
rnacentral:rRNA from 1 species